rnacentral:ncRNA from 1 species
UUAGCUCUGGAGAGUGGUCGACGAAGCGGCCCGCCGAAGGGGUAUGUGCCGCACGCCGCGCGCGUGCGUUGCCACGGAUCUCUCAGGUACAAGAGGACAGAGGGGC